GUAGGUGGUUUAUUAAGUGAAUAGUGAAAGCUGGUGGCUCAACCAUACAGACUAUUAUUCAAACUGGUAGACUCGAGAGUAGUAGAGGUAACUGGAAUUUCUUGUGUAGGAGUGGAAUCCGUAGAUAUAAGAAGGAACACCAAUGGCGUAGGCAGGUUACUGGACUAUCUCUGACACUGAGGCACGAAAGCGUGGGGAGCGAACCGGAUUAGAUACCCGGGUAGUCCACGCCGUAAACGAUGGAUACUAGCUGUUGGAGGUAUCGACCCCUUCAGUAGCGAAGCUAACGCGUUAAGUAUCCCGCCUGUGGAGUACGGCCGCAAGGCUAAAACAUAAAGGAAUUGACGGGGACCCGCACAAGCGGUGGAUUAUGUUCUUUAAUUCGAUGAUAACCGAAGAACCUUACCAGGGCUUGACAUCUAGGGAAGGACUACGAAAGUAGUUUGUGCCUUUUUGGAACCCUAUGACAGGUGUUGCAUGGCCGUCGUCAGCUCGUGUCGUGAGAUGUUAGGUUAAGUCCUUCAACGAGCGCAACCCUUAUUGUCUGUUGUAUUUUUCAGGCAAGACUGCCCCGGCAACGGGGAGGAAGGAGGGGAUGAUGUCAGGUCAGUAUUACCCUUACGUCCUGGGCUAGAAACGUAAUACAAUGGCAAGUACAAUGCGCAGCGAAGCCGCGAGGUGAAGCAAAUCGCAUCAAAGCUUGUCCCAGUUCGGAUUGGAGGCUGAAACUCGCCUCCAUGAAGUCGGAAUCGCUAGUAAUCGCAGAUCAGCAAGCUGCGGUGAAUACGCUCCCGGGUCUUGUACACACCGCCCGUCAAACCAUGAAAGUGACCAACACCCGAAGUCCGAUUCGUCGGCCUAAGGUGGGGGGCAUGAUUGGGGUU
rnacentral:rRNA from 1 species